CUUGACAACAUAAGAGGUCCAGCCUGCCCAGUGACUCAAUUCAACGGCCGCGGUAUCCUAACCGUGCAAAGGUAGCGUAAUCACUUGUCUUCUAAAUAAAGACUAGUAUGAAAGGCACCACGAGAACUAAACUGUCUCCUUUUUCUAAUCAGUGAACCUAAUCUCCCUGUGAAAAAGCAGGGAUUUAACAAUAAGACGAGAAGACCCUAUGGAGCUUUAAACACAUAACACUGCCCUUUUACACCACAAUGUUCCAUGCACAAUGAUUAAAAGUUUUUAGUUGGGGUGACUACGGAGUAAACCCACCCUCCGCGAUGAAUCUUAAACAAGCGACAGCUUUAUACAUCAGCAAACUGACACCAUUGACCCAAUUUAUUGAUCAACGAAC
rnacentral:rRNA from 1 species